AAAAAGUUCAGCUUACUAAGCAUUCCAGCAAUUGGUGAAGCUGUGGGCAGUGGUCGAUAUUUACUUUUGUGCAACCUGCAUCAGGACUAUCUAGCAGUGAGAAGGAACUUUGACUUUAUGUCUGAGUUUUCUACCUCUUCUUUUUGAAGGAAAUUUCUGUUUGGUUACCUUUGCUUGGAUCAUCUGAAUUUUCUUGCAGUUAUUUUCUAUAGGGCUGCUCUUCAUGGUCGUUGGUAAGUUCAUUCAGUUCUUAUACUCUUUGUUUUUGCCUGGUUUCUCUCCUUAUUUGCAUGUUUCCUUUCGAUCUGACAUACUAAUUGCCUCGCUUGGUGCAUCUACAUCUCUGUACUAAUGACAUAUAACUCCCUGCAGGUUACAGUGGCAAUGGAUACUUCUUCAGUUAAAGAUGUCUCGCGGUGAGGCCAUCAAUGGAAGAUCCUCGCGCACGCCGCCCGGUUUAUGCGGAUACAGAGAUAAAGAAGAUUGCAUCAUCGUCAUCUGCUGAGGUUGUAUGCUCCCGAAUUGCUGAUGUGGCCGCACUCUGGAUACACACCAGCGCCAAAAGCUAUCAGAUUUAUGGAAAUAGUUUUUCUGCCUGUGUAGGGCGUUGAGUUUUCAGUUAAGUGUAUCUUUGCCUACUUUUACUCAUGUCCGUGGGUUGUGGUCACACUGUUGGCCAGCUGAUGUAUGUAUGCCACUCUUUCUUCUAAUAAUAUAGUGAUCUAUGCAAGCCUUAUGAGUAUUUGGAACUUUUUUUCAGAAAAGACACCAAGCAGACGACUUAGGUAUCAGCAAACUGUCUGAAUCUUCAUACAACAGAACAAGGUUCAUGUGAUGUAAAAACUGCUGCGCCUCUAUAGCAAGCGCUUACACUGAGUUCGGCCAUUAGAAGAUUGAUUGCCAGCAAUAUAUUUUUCAAUUGGUUCUCAUGAUACAACAAACAAAAAUUAAGCGAGAGACGCCAGCCACCACAGAGUAUCACAUUAUUCAGUUAUAACAAGCAACUAGACAAAUGUCAAGUCCAUACAGUUUGCACUUCUAUAUGGCUAUGCCUUCCCAAGAUUC